AACGUAGGUACCGAGCGUUAUCCGGAUUUACUGGGCGUAAAGCGCGUUCAGGCGGUUUGGCAAGUCGGGCAUGAAAUCUCUCGGCUCAACCGGGAGAGGUUGUCCGAUACUGCUGGACUUGAGGGCAGUAGAGGGUGGUGGAAUUCCGGGUGUAGUGGUGAAAUGCGUAGAUAUCCGGAGGAACACCAGUGGCGAAGGCGGUUCUCUGGGCAUGACCUGACGCUGAGGAGCGAAAGUGUGGGGAGCGAACAGG
rnacentral:rRNA from 1 species